GGUAAGGGCAAGCGUCCGGCGCCCGAGCGUCAGAUAUACAAAACAGGCAAAGCUUGUCCCGCGCACAUGAUCGUCACAGAAACGCUGGACAAGGUGUUGGUCACGUUCUACAAGACGCACGUCGGUCACGGACCGUGUCCGUACUACGAGCCGCGUGAACCGAAGCGCGCUAAAGGUAAGUGUGCGAGCGAGACGGACACACUCGUGUGCGACACGUGCGGCGCA
rnacentral:misc_RNA from 1 species